rnacentral:rRNA from 1 species
UACGGGGGGGGCAAGCGUUGUUCGGAAUUACUGGGCGUAAAGGGCGCGUAGGCGGCUCUUCAAGUCAGCCGUGAAAUCUCCAGGCUUAACCUGGAAGGGUCGGUUGAUACUGUCGAGCUAGAGUGUAGAAGAGGCAACUGGAAUUCCGUGUGUAGCGGUGAAAUGCGUAGAUAUCUGGAGGAACACCGGUGGCGAAGGCGGCAUCCUGGACCGACACUGACGCUGAGGCGCGAAAGCUAGGGUAGCAAACGGG